rnacentral:rRNA from 2 species
AAUCCAUAGGUUAAUGAGGCGAACCGGGGGAACUGAAACAUCUAAGUACCCCGAGGAAAAGAAAUCAACCGAGAUUCCCCCAGUAGCGGCGAGCGAACGGGGAGGAGCCCAGAGCCUGAAUCAGCAUGUGUGUUAGUGGAAGCGUCUGGAAAGGCGCGCGAUACAGGGUGACAGCCCCGUACACAAAAGCGCAUGUGCUGUGAGCUCGAUGAGUAGGGCGGGACACGUGGUAUCCUGUCUGAAUAUGGGGGGACCAUCCUCCAAGGCUAAAUACUCCUGACUGACCGAUAGUGAACCAGUACCGUGAGGGAAAGGCGAAAAGAACCCCGGCGAGGGGAGUGAAAAAGAACCUGAAACCGUGUACGUACAAGCAGUGGGAGCCCCACCACCAAAGCAUUUGCUGUACCGCGUUGACGGAGCGAAGCGACGUCAAACCGAUAAAACAGCAGUGUAAAGUGAG